rnacentral:rRNA from 1 species
CAGUAGCCGCGGUAAUACGUAGGGUGCGAGCGUUAAUCGGAAUUACUGGGCGUAAAGCGUGCGCAGGCGGUUCGUUAAGACAGAUGUGAAAUCCCCGGGCUUAACCUGGGAACUGCAUUUGUGACUGACGGGCUAGAGUAUGGCAGAGGGGGGUAGAAUUCCACGUGUAGCAGUGAAAUGCGUAGAGAUGUGGAGGAAUACCGAUGGCGAAGGCAGCCAUCUGGCCUAAUACUGACGCUGAGGUACGAAAGCAUGGAGAGCAAACAGGAUUAGAUACCCCCGUAGUCCCUGUCUCUUAUAA